CCCUAUUAUAAAAAAUAUAAAGUUAAAUGCUAGAGUAGUAGUAGUUAAGUUCUUGAAAUUCAAAAGAUUUGGCGGUAUUUUAGUCUUUUCAGAGGAACCUGUCCUAUAAUUUGAUGAUCCACGAUUAAUUGUACUUAAUUUAGUAGUUUGUAUAUCGUCGUCGUUGAAUAUCUUUAAAAGGAAUAUAGAAAUGUUCAAAAUUUAUAAUUUAUAGAGUAAAUCAGAUCAAGAUACAGUUUAUAAUUAAGUAGAGAUGGGUUACAAUAAAUUUAUUUAUAUGGAUAUAUUAAUUAACAUUUUUGUUGAAAAUGGAUUUGAAGGUAAUAUAUUUAAGUUAAAAUAUAUGAUUUAAGCUCUAGAAUAUG
rnacentral:rRNA from 1 species